GACGUAGGGGGCCAGCGUUGCUCGGAAUUACUGGGUGUAAAGGGUUCGUAGGCGGUGUGGCAAGUCGGGAGUGAAAUCCCCGGGCUUAACCUGGGAAUUGCGCUUGAAACUAGCGGGCUUGAGUGUGGCAGAGGGGGGUGGAAUUCCACGUGUAGCAGUGAAAUGCGUAGAGAUGUGGAGGAACACCGAUGGCGAAGGCAGCCCCCUGGGUCAACACUGACGCUCAUGCACGAAAGCGUGGGGAGCAAACAGG
rnacentral:rRNA from 1 species